GAUCAUGGCUCAGGAUGAACGCUGGCGGCGUGCUUAACACAUGCAAGUCGAACGGAGUUUUAAACGGAAGUUUUCGGAUGGAAGUUUAGAAACUUAGUGGCGGACGGGUGAGUAACGCGUGGGUAACCUGCCUCAUACAGGGGGAUAACAGUUAGAAAUGACUGCUAACACCGCAUAAUAUAGCGAAACCGCAUGAUUUUGCUAUCAAAUAUUUAUAGGUAUGAGAUGGGCCCGCGUCUGAUUAGCUAGUUGGUGGGGUAAAGCCUACCAAGGCGACGAUCAGUAGCCGGCUUGAGAGAGUGACCGGCCACAUUGGGACUGAGACACGGCCCAAACUCCUACGGGAGGCAGCAGUGGGGAAUAUUGGACAAUGGGGGAAACCCUGAUCCAGCGAACCGCCGCGUGAGUGAAGAAGUAUUUCGGUAUGUAAAGCUCUAUCAGCAGGGAAGAUAAUGACAGUACCUGACUAAGAAGCCCCGGCUAACUACGUGCCAGCAGCCGC
rnacentral:rRNA from 1 species